GGGCCAGUGGCGGAAGGGUUAGUAAUAGCAUCGAACGUACCCCGAGGUGGGGGAUAGCGGCGGGAAACUGCCGGUAAUACCCCAUGAUCUCUCAGGAGCAAAGGCUUGCCGCCUUGGGCUCGGCGAUGCCCCUAUCAGCUAGUUGGUGAGGUAAAGGCUCACCAAGGCGAAGACGGGUAGCGGGUGUGAGAGCACGGCCCGCAACAUCGGGACUGAGACACUACCCGGACUCCUACGGGAGGCUGCAGCGACGAAUCUUCCGCAAUGGGCGCAAGCCUGACGGAGCAAUACCGCGUGUGGGAUGAAGCGGCUACGCCGUGUAAACCACUGUCAGGGGACGGAAUCAAUGAUUGUCCCCAAAGGAAGAGACGGCUAACUCUGUGCCAGCAGCCGCGGUAAUACAGAGGUCUCGAGCGUUAAUCGGAAUUACUGGGCUUAAAGGGUGCGUAGGCGGCCCCGAAAGCGUCGUGUGAAAGCCCCCGGCUCAACCGGGGAACGGCACGGCGAACUACGGGGCUUGAGAGAACUAGGGGCUGACAGAACAGUAGGUGGAGCGGUGAAAUGCGUAGAUAUCUACUGGAACGCCGAUGGUGAAGACGGUCAGCUGGGGUUCUUCUGACGCUGAGGCACGAAAGCGUGGGGAGCAAACAGGAUUAGAUACCCUGGUAGUCCACGCCGUAAACGAUGCAUACUAGACCGGUGCCGCUCUGACGCGGUAUCGGUCGCCGUAAAAACAAUAAGUAUGCCGCCUGGGGAGUACGGUCGCAAGGCUAAAACUCAAAGGAAUUGACGGGGGCUCACACAAGCGGUGGAGCAUGUUGCUUAAUUCGAGACAACGCGAAGAACCUUACCUGGGUUUGACAUGGUCGUAUUAACUCUAUGAAAGUAGAGCCACAGUCGCAAGACCGGAACGAUCACAGGUGCUGCAUGGCUGUCGUCAGCUCGUGCUGUGAAGUGUCGGGUUAAGUCCUCUAACGAGCGCAACCCCUGUCGUUAGUUACUAACGGGUAAUGCCGAGUACUCCAGCGAGACUGCCGGCGUCAAGCCGGAGGAAGGUGGGGAUGACGUCAAGUCCUCAUGGCCCUUACAUCCAGGGCUGCAAACGUGCUACAAUGGCGUGGACAAAGCGACGCAAGGCCGCAAGGCGGAGCAAAUCGCAAAAACCACGCCCCAGUUCGGAUUGCAGGCUGAAAUUCGCCUGCAUGAAGUCGGAAUCGCUAGUAAUCGGAGAUCAGCUACGCUCCGGUGAAUAAGUUCCUGAGCCUUGUACACACCGCCCGUCAAGUCAUGGGAGCCGGUAGUGCCCGAAGUCGCCAUAUUUCAUUGGUGCCUACGGCAAGAUCGGUGACUGGGACUAAGUCGAAACAAGGUA
rnacentral:rRNA from 1 species